rnacentral:misc_RNA from 1 species
GAUGAAGAACGUAGUGAAAUGCGAUAAGUAAUGUGAAUUGCAGAAUUCAGUGAAUCAUCGAAUCUUUGAACGCACCUUGCGCUCCUUGGUAUUCCGAGGAGCAUGCCUGUUUGAGUGUCAUUAAUAUAUCAACCUUCUCUUUUUUGAGUUGUUUGGAUGUGGGGGUUUGCUGGCCUCUUAAAUGAUUCAGCUCCCCUGAAAUGCAUUAGCAGAACAACCUGUUCAUUAGCGUGAUAAUUAUCUAUGCUAUUGAAUGUGAGGGCAGUUCAGCUUUCUAACCGUCCUUGGACAAUUCAUCAUUAAUGUGACCUCAAAUCAGGUAGGACUACCCGCUGAACUUAAGCAUAUCAAAAGCGGAGGA